CCUACAGACUUUUUCCUGGAUUCCCAUCAGUCACUAACUAUCAUUUCUGCUGAUAAUAUCUUUCAGAUCUUUGACUUCGUAAAAAAAGUCUUUUCUGUGACAAUUUAAUAUAAAGAGUAAUCUGAUAAUGAGAGCCUGGAGGCUCACUGGCUGUUUCAGAGUAACAAGAGGAUAAAUUCAAUACUGAUCUUCUAUCCACACAAUGACACCUUCGAGGGUCUGAGAGAAAGUUCCAGUCAAAUCCACAUGCAUUAAGGUAAGGAUCUUAUGUAACUUUUCUUUAUAAAACCUUGAUAGACU
rnacentral:lncRNA from 1 species